GUCAAGAUUCGGGGACAUUCGAUUAAAUUGGAACAAUACAAAGAAGAUUAGCAUGACCCUUAUGCAAUGACGACACACACAUGUCAAGAAAUGAUCCAAAUAUUA